CUCUCAUUAUUUUGCAUCUGAUUUUCUGCAGUCUGCUAUUGCUUUGCGUGGUGGUGAUAUCAAAGAAGUGCGGUUUAAGGCGAAAACUGAAAUUAAAGACAUGAAGGUGAAAGCAGAUGCAAUUACCAGGCUGAUGGAGCGUGGAUACAAGGUGAAGUGCAUGGCGAUGCCCGCAGGUAACGAAGCAGAAGAUUUAGGCGGACCGCUAUCUCGGUUAUUAGGACUG